rnacentral:rRNA from 1 species
AGUGAACGCUGGCGGCGUGCUUAACACAUGCAAGUCGAACGAGAACGGGUUAUAGCUUGCUAUAAUUGUCAGCUAAGUGGCGCACGGGUGAGUAAUGUAUAGGUAAUAUGCCUCUUACUAAGGGAUAACAAAUGGAAACGUUUGCUAAUACCUUAUACUCCUUAUUAACAGAAGUUAAUAAGGGAAAGAUUUAUUGGUAAGAGAUUAGCCUGUAUUGUAUCUGUUAGUUGGUGGGGUAAUGGCUUACCAAGACUAUGACACAUAACUGGUUUGAGAGGAUGAUCAGUCACACUGGAACUGAGACACGGUCCAGACUCCUACGGGAGGCAGCAGUGGGGAAUAUUGCACAAUGGACGAAAGUCUGAUGCAGCAACGCCGCGUGGAGGAUGACACAUUUCGGUGCGUAAACUCCUUUUAUAUGAGAAGAUAAUGACGGUGUUAUAUGAAUAAGCACCGGCUAACUCCGUGCCAGCAGCCGCUGUAACAC